GGCGAACGCUGGCGGCGCGCCUAACACAUGCAAGUCGAACGAGCGAAGAGGAGCUUGCUUCUCUGAGCGAGUGGCGAACGGGUGAGUAACGCGUGAGGAACCUGCCUCAAAGAGGGGGACAACAGUUGGAAACGACUGCUAAUACCGCAUAAGCCCACGGGUCGGCAUCGACCAGAGGGAAAAGGAGCAAUCCGCUUUGAGAUGGCCUCGCGUCCGAUUAGCUAGUUGGUGAGGUAAUGGCCCACCAAGGCGACGAUCGGUAGCCGGACUGAGAGGUUGAACGGCCACAUUGGGACUGAGAUACGGCCCAGACUCCUACGGGAGGCAGCAGUGGGGAAUAUUGGGCAAUGGGCGCAAGCCUGACCCAGCAACGCCGCGUGAAGGAAGAAGGCUUUCGGGUUGUAAACUGCUUUGUCAGGGACGAAAAGGACCGUGUUAAUACCAUGGUCUGCUGACGGUACCUGAAGAAUAAGCACCGGCUAACUACGUGCCAGCAGCCG
rnacentral:rRNA from 1 species